UUGCAACCCCAUGGACUUCAGCAGGACAGGGAAGCCUGGCCAUACAACUGCGCAGAUGGUCCCUGAUCUUUACUCAGUACCUGGCUUGAGAGAGACAUGUAAACCUGGACCGCGAUUGAGUGCUUUAAACAAUCGGCAGUGGCCCUCAGGGGAGGGAGCGGCUUUGCAGCUGUGGGCUGGGUGAGAGGCUCCCGCACUGAUGAGGUUGCCAGCCGCAGGAAUAAAGAACCGAGGGAGGAUUUUGGAAUCUUUCUGGGGGUGGCCAGAGUACUGCACCAUCAAAAAGUGAAAAAACGAAAAGGAAGAAAUUGUCCUCUGGAGAAAAAAUGAAAGCAUUGAAGACCCUGGGAAGACGAAUCUAUUCACAGAGAAGACGUUGGCAAAAGAAAAUAGACCCCUCGGAAGGAAAACGGCUUGGUUACUGUUUCAGCUAAGAAGUGAGAUGAGAUAUGAAGCGAUGUUUCAUUUCACGUUACCUGAAACGUCUCAGAUAAAGUCUUCCCUAGCCCCUGGAACUGAAUAAGGAGACACAGACAAGCCUUUAUGACUAGCAGCAGAGAAUAAGAGCUCCGUCUCACCGCAUUUCAGCGACCUUGCUGUGUGAGUUGUUUCUUCCAGUUCUUUGGAGUGAUUUAGCUGAACAGGUGCAAGUGGUCUGAAAGAUAGAGGAAGAGCAAGCCACCAGAGACAAGGCAGUGAGGACUCUGUCCACAUCAUAUUUCCGUGUUUGUUCUAUUUGUCAAAGACCACCCUCCACAGUUUAAACCAGAGACACUGAACAAGACGAAAGAAAAAGAAGAUAGGAUAAAAUAGAAAUACAGCUUAAGUAUAUCCCCAGGUACUAAACAAGAGAGUAAAUAGUUAAUAAUACUGUGUUAUAUAUUGGAUUGGCCAAAACAUUUGUUCAGUUUUUCUGUAAGAUGGCUCUCAUAUUGCCUAGUCAUCUUUAACUUCAUUCGAAACAACUUUGUUAGAUUGUUUUGUGACAGCUGUCAUAUAGGCAUGCAUUAAAAAAAAAUUCAAAAUUGGUGAAUUUUGUGUAGCCACUUCAAUUUUCAAGAUGGAAGAGUAAAAGCAACAUUUGGGGUAUAGUAUGCUCUAUUAUUUCAAGAAAAGUAAAAACGAAACUGAAACACCAAAAAAAAAAAAAAGAUUUCUCCAGUGUAUGGCGAAGGUGCUGUGACUGAUCGAACAUAUCAAAACUAGUUUGCAAAGUUUUCUGCUGGAGAUUUCUCCCUGGACCAUGCUUCCUGGUCGGGUAGACAAGUUGAAGUUGAUAGUGAUCAAAUCAAGACAGUAAUUGAGAACAAUCAACAUUACGCCACUUGGGAGAUAGCCAACAUACUCAAAAUGUCCAAAUCAAGUAUCGAGAAUCAUUUCCACCAAGUUGGUACGUUAAUCGCUUUGAUGUUCGGAUUCCACAUAAGUUAAGUGAAUAAAACCUUGAUUGUAUUUCCACAUGCAAUUCUUUACUUAAACAUGAGGGAAACCUUCCAUUUUUAAAACAAAUUGUGACGGUCGAUGAAAAAUGGAGACUGUGCAAGAAAGUGGGAUGGAAGAGAUCAUGGAGCAAAUGAAAUGAACCACCACUAACCAGAGGCCGGUCUUCAUCCAAAGAAGGUGACGUUGUGUAUAUGGUGGGAUUGGAAGGGAGUCCUCUAUUAUGAGCUCCUUCCAGAAAAACAAAUGAUUAAUUCCCAAAAAUACUGCUCCCAAUUAGACGACUGAAAGCAGCAUUCGACGAAAGCGUCCGGAAGGAGCCGACAGAAAACGCAUCACCUCCUGUCAGGACGACACAGGCUGCAGGUUUCUCUGACGACGGUGCAACUCGGCUGCGAAGCUCUGGUGCAUCCGCCUCGUUCACCAGACGCUACACCUUCAGAUGUCCUUUCCUUUCGGUCUCUACGACGUUCUCUCAAUGGAAACCGUUUCAACGCCCUGGAAGACAGUAAGAGGCACCUGGAGCAGUUCUUUGCUCAAAAACAUAAAAUGUUUUGGGAAGGCGGAAGUAUGAAGUUGCCUGAGCAAUGGCAGAAUGUCAUGGAGCCAAACAGUGAAUGCAUGGUCCAAUAAAAUUCUCAGUGGAAAUAAAAAAUGUGUCUUUUAUUUUUACUUAAAAACUUGAAGGAACUUUUUGGCCAAUCCAAUAUUUGACGCUGCUAACAGAGUAGACCUUAAAUGUUCUCACACAAAAAAGAAGUGAUAAUUACGUGAUGGGAGGCAGGUGGAAGCCUGUACUGUUUAAUAUGAUAUAAUCAUUUUGCAACAUAAGAAUGUAUCAAAUCAACACUCAGUGUACCUUAAACAUACACAGUGGUGUAUGUCAAUUAUAUCUCAGUAAAGCUAGAAAAAAUUUUAAAAAGAGAGUAACAGGAAAACAUGUAGGGUGUUACUUGAAUGUUUUUGUAAGAUAGUAGAAUGACUUCAACAGGAGCAUCGAUUUCACUAAAGUUUUAUACGAAAAUAUCUGCAGUCAAAAGUAGUGUUCAACUCUGCAUGAAAGCAAGUUACUUGAUGGAGGACAGUGCCGGCUCACUCCUGGCCCCUCCAGGGAACCCCCCAGGAUAACCCCCAUCCCCCUUCGCCCCCGCCAGCCAAGCUCCACUCCCUCUGUGCCCCCCUCUUCAGGGUUCUCCCCUUUUAGGCUCAGCUUCACACCCAAGCUCAGCUUGUAGAUGCUUCCCCUUCUGGGGAGUGUAUUUUCCCACAUUUAUGCUCCUCCAAAUCUUACCCCUACUCAUGAACUCAUGAGUUUUGAGUAUUCGCUGUGUGUCAAGCCUGGGUUAACUCCACAGGGAUGAAACAGUAGUCCCUGCUCUUGGGUUGCUCACAGCCCUUUGGAGAUUUCAACAUGGAAAUAACCACUCCGUGGAACCAAGGAAGUACGGCUGAUUUUUGUCUGUUGGUUCUCCUUUUAAUAAUAAGUAUAAUACGUGUGCAUAAAAGUAUACAGUGUGCAUGCAGAAAAGCUUUCACCAGGGUCCAUGGGAUCCUUCCAGAGGGAGGGCCUGAGUGUUCCUGAGGUAUCUGGGGAGGCUUCCUGUAGGAGGGGAAGCUGGAGGGGAGACCUGAGCAGUGACAGGUAUUUGCAGACAGGUAAGACAGGUAGGGGAAGAGAGAGCAGGGCUUCCAGGGCAGAAAUCCUUCCAGCCCACCUUCUCCAGGAAGAUUUCCAGAACUCCUCCACCUCUCACUGAUCACCUUCUUUUAUUCACAACUAGUCACCCAAACCAUAGGACUUAACCUUUGAAGUCAGAGACCUCCAACACACAGUCUCCCUCAAGUUAGUUUUUCUUCAUGUUUAUCUCAUCUAGUCACCAACUAGAUGAGCUGAAGGAUGCGGGUGAGUUACACAAUCCUACCUGUGUACCUCAGGCAGAAGAUCUCACGCAGUAGAGGCUCAGCUUCUUCAUUGGAAAGGAUUCCUGGGAAAAGAUGAACCUGGGUCAGAAUUGGCAAAAUAGCUGUGCACCAGACCCGGGCUUCCCACUGGUCUCCUGAGUCAAGUUUUAUCGGGACACAGUCCUGGGAAUGUCUUUUCACUUGGUCUGUGGCUGGGGCUUCCCAGGUAGCUCAGCAGAAAAGAAUCUGUCUGCAAUGCAAGAGACACGGUUGGAUCCCUGGGUGGGGAAGAUCCCCUGGAGAAGGAAAUGGCAGCCCACUCCACUGUUCUUGCCUGGGAAAUCCCAUGGACAGAGGAGCCUGGAGGGCUACAGUCCAUGGGGUCGAAAAAGAGUCAGAGAUGACUUAGCAACUAAACAACAGCCAAGGCUAUUUUGGUGCCACAUGGAAGUUGCUACAGAGACUGUCUGACCCACAGAGCUGAAAAUAUUUACUAUCAUUUUCUUGAUGGAAAAAGUUUGCUGAUCAUUUAGCAUGUAUUUAUUAUUUUUGUUGUUGUCGUUAGCCUGGAUAAAUCUAAUUUUUAAUGACUCCAUUAAUGCCUCCUGUUAAAAGUUUUAUCCUCCUCAACACCAAUGACCUAACCCCUGCAUCCAACUUAAGUUGUAAACCUUCAUUUUAUUAGGCUCAUUGCUUGAGGAAUUUUUAAAAAUCUUUUCCUCUAAGACAUUUCAGAAGCUACAAGCCUGUUAGCAUC
ensembl:lncRNA